CCUACGGGAGGCAGCAGUGGGGAAUAUUGCACAAUGGGGGAAACCCUGAUGCAGCGACGCCGCGUGAGUGAAGCAGUCCUUCGUUAUGUAAAGCUCUAUCAGCAGGGAAGAAAAUUACGGUCCCUGCGUAAGACGCCCCGGCUACCUACGUUCCAGAAGCCGCGGUACUACGUAGGGGGCAAGCGUUAUCCGGAUUUACUGGGUGUAAAGGGAGCGUAGACGGCAGUGCAAGUCUGGAGUGAAAGGCGGGGGCUAAACCCCCGGACUGCUCUGGAAACUGUACGGCUGGAGUGCAGGAGAGGUAAGUGGAAUUCCUAGUGUAGCGGUGAAAUGCGUAGAUAUUAGGAGGAACACCAGUGGCGAAGGCGGCUUACUGGACUGUAACUGACGUUGAGGCUCGAAAGCGUGGGGAGCAAACAGGAUUAGAUACCCCAGUAGUC
rnacentral:rRNA from 1 species